UCUCCUGGAAACGGGUGGUAAUGCCGGAUGCUCCGCCCCCUCGCAUGGGGGGUCGGGAAGGCUUUUGCGGAAUGGGAUGGGGUCGCGUCCUAUCAGCUUGUUGGCGGGGCGACGGCCCACCAAGGCUUCGACGGGUAGCCGGCCUGAGAGGGCGACCGGCCACAUUGGGACUGAGAUACGGCCCAGACUCCUACGGGAGGCAGCAGUGGGGAAUAUUGCACAAUGGGGGGAACCCUGAUGCAGCGACGCCGCGUGCGGGAUGGAGGCCUUCGGGUCGUGAACCGCUUUUGAUUGGGAGCAAGCGUGAGUGAGUGUACCUUUCGAAUAAGCACCGGCUAACUACGUGCCAGCAGCCGCGGUAAUACGUAGGGUGCAAGCGUUGUCCGGAAUCAUUGGGCGUAAAGGGCUCGUAGGCGGUUCGUCGCGUCCGGUGUGAAAGCCCAUCGCUUAACGGUGGGUCUGCGCCGGGUACGGGCGGGCUUGAGUGCGGCAGGGGAGGCUGGAAUUCCCGGUGUAACGGUGGGAAUGUGUAAAUAUCGGGAAAGAAACACCA
rnacentral:rRNA from 1 species